UACGUAGGGUGCAAGCGUUGUCCGGAUUUAUUGGGCGUAAAGAGCUCGUAGGCGGCUUGGCAAGUCGGGUGUGAAAACUUCAGGCUCAACCUGGAGAUGCCACCCGAGACUGCUAUGGCUAGAGUCCGGUAGGGGACCACGGAAUUCCUGGUGUAGCGGUGAAAUGCGCAGAUAUCAGGAGGAACACCGGUGCGAAGGCGGUGGUCUGGGCCGGCAACUGGACGCUGGAGGAGCGAAAGCGUGGGUAGCAAACAGGA
rnacentral:rRNA from 1 species